rnacentral:rRNA from 1 species
UGGGGAAUAUUGCACAAUGGGCGCAAGCCUGAUGCAGCAACGCCGCGUGAACGAUGAAGGUCUUCGGAUCGUAAAGUUCUGUUGCAGGGGAAGAUAAUGACGGUACCCUGUGAGGAAGCCCCGGCUAACUACGUGCCAGCAGCCGCGGUAAUACGUAGGGGGCUAGCGUUAUCCGGAUUUACUGGGCGUAAAGGGUGCGUAGGUGGUCCUUCAAGUCGGUGGUUAAAGGCUUCGGCUCAACCGUAGUAAGCCGCCGAAACUGGAGGACUUUAGUGCAGGAGAGGAGAGUGGGAUUCCCAGUGUAGCGGUGAAAUGCGUAGAUAUUGGGGGGAGCACCAGUAGCGCAGGCGGCUUUCUGGACUGCACCUGACACUGGGGCACGAGAGCGUGGGUAGCAAACAGG